AGUGAACGCUGGCGGUAGGCCUAACACAUGCAAGUCGAACGGCAGCACAGUAAGAGCUUGCUCUUACGGGUGGCGAGUGGCGGACGGGUGAGGAAUACAUCGGAAUCUACUUUUUCGUGGGGGAUAACGUAGGGAAACUUACGCUAAUACCGCAUACGACCUACGGGUGAAAGCAGGGGAUCUUCGGACCUUGCGCGAUUGAAUGAGCCGAUGUCGGAUUAGCUAGUUGGCGGGGUAAAGGCCCACCAAGGCGACGAUCCGUAGCUGGUCUGAGAGGAUGAUCAGCCACACUGGAACUGGGACACGGUCCAGACUCCUACGGGAGGCAGCAGUGGGGAAUAUUGGACAAUGGGCGCAAGCCUGAUCCAGCCAUACCGCGUGGGUGAAGAAGGCCUUCGGGUUGUAAAGCCCUUUUGUUGGGAAAGAAAAGCAGCAGGUUAAUACCCCGCUGUUCUGACGGUACCCAAAGAAUAAGCACCGGCUAACUUCGUGC
rnacentral:rRNA from 1 species